GAAGUCAGCCAGGCCGUCGCUGCCGACGGCGCGCUAUGCGUCGCCGGGAGAGGAAAGUCCGGGCUCCGAAGAGCGGGAUGCUGGGUAACGCCCAGACGCCCUAAGCCGUUCGCGCGAGCGGCGGUGAAGGCGAGGAACAGGGCCACAGAGACGAGUCGCAUCCGAUCAAAAGGAUGCGAGUGAAACGCGGCAACCUCCAUCCGGAGCAACACCAAGUAAGCGGACGACGACGCUGCUCGCCGAGUCCGCGGGUAGGUGGCUCGAGCGCCGUGGCAACGCGGCGCCUAGAUGAAUGACGGUCAUAGCGCGCUUACUUUGAGCGCGCCGUAACAGAACCCGGCUUAUCGGCUGGCUUCGAUU
rnacentral:RNase_P_RNA from 1 species